GGACUACAUUUGGGUGGCGUAUCUUCUGUACUAAGGCAAGCUCAUCCCCAAAUGCCUUGACUUUAUCUUCGUCGGUGAAUAAUUCUUCACCAAGUUUCUUAACAGCAACCUUAGUUCCACGCCACAGAGCAACACAAUACGUACCCUUUGUUAUGUUUACACUAUUACUAAAAUCAAGUUCUCUUGGAUCAAUUUCAUACUCUGGAAUUUCACGAACAUUUUCUACAUGCAUGGGAG
rnacentral:misc_RNA from 1 species